rnacentral:tmRNA from 1 species
GGGGGCGUACAGGUUUCGACGGGGGUUUGGAGUCUUUAGUAGCGAGCCGUGUUUUGCUUGGUAGCACGUCAAAAACUGGGCAAUAAAUAUAAACGCAAACGAUAAUUACGCUUUAGCGGCUUAAUAUAGCUGCUCGUUUCUACUAGGUGUCCCGCAGCCUAGAUAGAAACGUCAUAUUAGCGGGGAACGUCUUAAGGGAUGCCUUGACCUUAAGUUGUACAAUUAGGGCUGGUCGAGUCUGUAGUAUGUUGCUGGACGACAGAGGAGACGAGAUUUAAAACAGUAACUACGCUCGUAGAAGCUGAAGGUAAAGGGCCUUCGGACAGGGGUUCGAUUCCCCUCGCCUCCACCA